rnacentral:rRNA from 1 species
GACGAACGCUGGCGGCGUGCUUAACACAUGCAAGUCGAACGGUGAAGCGCCUUCCUUUUUGGUGGGUGUGGUUGAGUGGCGAACGGGUGAGUAACACGUGAGUAACCUGCCCCCUUCUUCUGGAUAACCGCAUGAAAGUGUGGCUAAUACGGGAUAUUCUGGUUCUGUCGCAUGUUUGGUCUGGUUAAGAUAUUGUUUCUGUGGGGGAUGUGCUCGCGGCCUAUCAGGUUGUUGGUGGGGUGAUGGCCUACCAAGGCGGUGUCGGGUAGCCGGCCUGAGCGGGUGGACGGUAAGAGUGGGAAUGAGACACGGAGAAGACUACGAGGGGAGGCAGCAGGGGGGAAGAUGGAAGAAUGGGAGAAAGGAUGAUGCAGGGACGAGGCGGGAGGGAUGGAGGCAUUCGGGUUGAGAACCUCUAUGGGGAGUGAAGCAGGGCUGACUCGUAUGUGGGUGGGUUGACGGUAGCUGGAUAAGAAGCGACGGCUAACUACGUG